rnacentral:lncRNA from 1 species
UUUUUUUUUUUUUUUUUUUUUUUGCCACAUUUUAAUCUAGUUGUGUAAAAGACUUGGUGGGAAACUUUGAAAGUAAUGAAUCACAUGAACUUUCUCAAUGAUUUGUGGAUUUCACUCUCAAACGUUCCUUUUCUAUUUCAACUCCAUUAUAAUGGAUAAUUGAGAACUGACUACACAGAUGGGGAAUGCAUCCAUCCAUUCAUUCAACAAAUAUUUCAAGAUGAUGACAGGGACAUCAAAUUUGCUACAUGUAACUAGGCCUUCUUAAAGAGGCAGAUUAUGAUCGACUAUGGAAGAAGGGGAGUAUAGCUUUCAUGUUUAUAUAUUUUGGGUAUUCCAUGAACACGUUUACAAAAAACAAUAAAGAAAAAGGUGCUGCAUAGAGGGUAUUUUAUGGGUUCCAAAACAAUUCAUGAUUUUAUCACAUCUACUGUUUUCUUUGAAUGAGAUAUUUUAAAUAAAAACUAACCUUACUUUUUUCAAAGCAGCAAAUUGGUGAAUUUUUGAUGUUCUGUAAUUUCCCGAAUUAUGGUUUUAUAUUAAAUGUUAUUCCUCCCAGAGUGGUAGCAAAUUACACGAUUUGCCUUUAAAGCAAAAAUGAAUUUGUGAAUUUCAAGUCAUGAUUUGCCUUCAUUCCACCUAGACCAGGAUUCUAGAUCUUAGAGCCCCCCAAACUCAGCUACUGUAUAUUGUAAAAAGGAGCAAUUUGGUUAAAUAAAUGGCUAAAUUAUCAAAGUGACUACGUCAUGCACUUUUUACAUAGAAUUUCUUAUCCCGAAUUAUCAAUUAUAUACAAACUACAUACUAUAUAGAAAAUAGCUUUGUUAUAUUCAAUAGCAUAUUGUACUGUUGUUGGUGAAAAUAAAAUUCCUUUUUACUCCUAUUUUCUUAUAUUUACCUCACAUGGUCCCCACAUAUAAGGAAAGAAUGACCUUCUUAACUCAAUCCUUGCUGUCAGUCCCCAACACCUAGUCUCCAAAUUCUGUGGCGUCUCAAGCAGCUGGAUCAGAGCAAUCAGUAGAUGUUUAUAGAACUGAAUCUUCUUUCUUUAGUGUAGACCAUCAAUGGCAGAAACAACAAGAAACAGUAUGCAUUUUUAUGCUAUGGAUUUACUUUGCAAUAUAUACUGUUUAAAAGCUUUUCAACUUCUUCUAUUGCAGGAGCUAUUUGUAUUUGUUAAUGAUUCUAGUUAAAUAGUGAAUACUUUCCUUCUGGAUGAGGGGUCCCUAUUAGCAGCAAUCCAGACAUGUUGCCUGACCCUUGGUCCCCCUGUACAUUACAGGGAAUCUAAAAUAAUUAACUUGCCCCCAGAAACCUGAAAUAGUUUGGACCCAAGUAGUGUGCAUUCCCAAAAUGCUGUUGUACCUCAGAUAAAUCUAACUUCUUGCUGCCAGAUCUUAAGGAAGACUGUGUACUUUAAUUUUCUCAUGUGAAAAAUGUAGAUAGCAUCUGCUCUAUCUAACUUACAGGCAUGUGUGGAAAUAGAUGCAAUAAAAUGGAAAGCCCUGGCAUUCAAUAAAAUCCAUUCUCUUCCCAGCCUCAUCAAAACCAAACUACUGAAAAAAAGCAAUAUAUACAUAUUAGGGUUUUUUCUCUUCUUUCUGAAGUCUAGGAUAUCAGAAUGAUAUGUUAUGGUGGACAAAUUCAAAGAGUUUGGGAAAUGUGCCAUUUCUUGGUACUGGAAUGAAUGAUUUGGGGUGGGGGAUUGAGAAGAUUAUUUUAACCAGCCAGGCAUUCCUACUCAUUUUUCUCUGCAUAUCGCCACAGCUUGGACACAACAGGAACUUCAACGAGAGAAAUUUGAACUUACCAGAAUCAAGAAAAUCGUUUUUUUUCUCUCUUU